UCUUGCAGCAUUAGUAAGCUGUUUUCUCAUCCACAAGUAUGUGUAAUGUUGUUGGGCAUGGACAGGACGUCUAUUCAUUGAACAUGUCAUCAGACAGAAAGCAAUGGUUACCAGCUUGGAUUCAACUUGUCCUGUUAAAGUGAUACCCUAAAAGAACAACAAAAAUGUCAAGAUUAUGUCAAUUGGUCAGGAUUCCUCAUGCCUUGAAUAUUCAGAUGAUGCUGUGAAUUUCAUUAGACAUCAGUGCUUUAUUGACCCCUUCACCCAAACAAUCUCAUAGCAGUCAAGUAUUCAGAGCUCAGGACAGUAGAAGUUGAAUCAUCUCAAGAAACAAAGAAGGGUUGAAAGAGGAUACUUUUGAGGUCUGAAAGGUCUUCUGAUAACAGACAUUUGUUUGUGAACCUACUAUAAACAGUCUCAGCAGCAAGCACUGCUCUGACUUUGAAGUCUGGAACUUGGAAAAUGUGCAGUCAUUUGAUACUACCACCUUCUUUUCUGAAUCUGCCAAGCAGUUUCUUCCUAAAGAUGAAAAACUAGAUUCAAGAAGCUUAAGAACUUGCACGGAGGAAAGUGGUGAAGUAAAAGUUUCCUCCAUAACGUAGGGGGAGCCCGAGUCUGUACCUUUUCUCUUCCUCUUUCUGCCUUUCAGAAUAAA